rnacentral:rRNA from 1 species
GACGAACGCUGGCGGCGUGCUUAACACAUGCAAGUCGAACGGAAAGGCCCUGCUUUUGUGGGGUGCUCGAGUGGCGAACGGGUGAGGAACACGUGAGUAACCUGCCCUUGACUUUGGGAUAACUUCAGGAAACUGGGGCUAAUACCGGAUAGGAUCUCCUGCUGCAGGGUGGGGGUUGGAAAGUUUCGGCGGUUGGGGAUGGACUCGCGGCUUAUCAGCUUGUUGGUGGGGUAGUGGCUUACCAAGGCUUUGACUGGUAGCCGGCCUGGGAGGGUGACCGGCCACCUUGGGCCUGAGAUACGGCCCAGACUCCUACGGUAGGCAGCAGUGGCGAAUCUUGCACAAUGGGCGGAAGCCUGAUGCAGCAACGCCGCGUGCGGGAUGACGGCCUUCGGGUUGUAAACCGCUUUCGCCUGUGACGCAGCGUGAGUGACGGUACUGGGUAAAGAAGCACCGGCUAACUACGUG